rnacentral:rRNA from 1 species
AUUGAACGCUGGCGGCAUGCUUUACACAUGCAAGUCGAACGGUAACAGGCCGCAAGGUGCUGACGAGUGGCGAACGGGUGAGUAAUGCAUCGGAACGUGCCCAGUCGUGGGGGAUAACGCAGCGAAAGCUGCGCUAAUACCGCAUACGAUCUCUGGAUGAAAGCGGGGGACCGAAAGGCCUCGCGCGAUUGGAGCGGCCGAUGUCAGAUUAGGUAGUUGGUGGGGUAAAGGCCCACCAAGCCAACGAUCUGUAGCUGGUCUGAGAGGACGACCAGCCACACUGGGACUGAGACACGGCCCAGACUCCUACGGGAGGCAGCAGUGGGGAAUUUUGGACAAUGGGCGCAAGCCUGAUCCAGCAAUGCCGCGUGCAGGAAGAAGGCCUUCGGGUUGUAAACUGCUUUUGUACGGAACGAAACGGUCUGGGUUAAUACCCUGGCUAAUGACGGUACCGUAAGAAUAAGCACCGGCUAACUACGUGCCAGCAGCCGCUGUAACAC